UUAAACUUCUGGCUAUGUUCAUCUAGCCUUUUUUAUGCAUGGUGUUCUAGAGUUGAGGUGAGCUGUAAUUGUUAGUAUUACUACUAUGUUUUGUUUACAGGAAAAUUGCUUACCAAGUGGAUCAUGGGACAUGGUCUGAAAAGACUGGAUAUGAUUUUCCAGCUUUGCCACGUCAGACAAGAGGGAAUGAUUGUGGUGUUUUUGUACUCAUGUACACCCUCUCAAUGGUGUGUGGCAUUGGGUUUCAAUUCCAGGAGAUGGAUAUACCUAUCAUCCGUCAGUGGUGGUGCCUUCUACUCAU